UUAAGGCGAGGCGGCUCAAACCCUUCAAACCAGCCGGAGAGGAUUGAGCAACGCGGAGAGAGAACUCGUUACGAGGCCUGUAAUGGGGUCCGGGCGUUUCCGCUCCAUUUUUUGUGGGCCCAAUUACGUUUCGCCAGUCUCAAUAGGCCAUGUUUCGCGGUCUCAUCGGGCCUCUCGCGUAUACAUGCGCCUGCGAGCCUCGAAAACCAUCCGCUUGGAACAUCGGGGAACAUCGUGGAACUCCCCGAAAGAAUGACGUUUAUGUAAUAAUGUUGUGACAAAAUAGAUAUUAAUUAAUUUUUUAAGAAGCUGCCGAGAAGAAAGUGUCUCUUUAUUAAACCAAUACUAUGACCUUGAACUAAAAUAGUUCUGCCUCACUAAAAUAGUCCAAUUUCUUACAAAACUUAACCAAAAUACGGUUUAACUUUUAACAAACCUUUUAAAUAAUAUUUGGAUUAAAAAGAAAUUCAUGUACAAUUCCUGGCAAACAUUCAUUCGAAAUUUUGAAGACAAAUACUAUAACUUGGAACGAUACAAUUUGGAGUAAAAAAACAGCUCAAAUAUAAUUAGAUAUAUAUUUUUAAUAAAUCUACAUCUUCCAGUAAA